UGGGGAAUUUUGGACAAUGGGCGAAAGCCUGAUCCAGCAAUGCCGCGUGUGUGAAGAAGGCCUUCGGGUUGUAAAGCACUUUUGUCCGGAAAGAAAUCCUUGGCUCUAAUACAGUCGGGGGAUGACGGUACCGGAAGAAUAAGCACCGGCUAACUACGUGCCAGCAGCCGCGGUAAUACGUAGGGUGCAAGCGUUAAUCGGAAUUACUGGGCGUAAAGCGUGCGCAGGCGGUUUGCUAAGACCGAUGUGAAAUCCCCGGGCUCAACCUGGGAACUGCAUUGGUGACUGGCAGGCUAGAGUAUGGCAGAGGGGGGUAGAAUUCCACGUGUAGCAGUGAAAUGCGUAGAGAUGUGGAGGAAUACCGAUGGCGAAGGCAGCCCCCUGGGCCAAUACUGACGCUCAUGCACGAAAGCGUGGGGAGCAAACAGGAUUAGAUACCCUGGUAGUCCACGCCCUAAACGAUGUCAACUAGUUGUUGGGGAUUCAUUUCCUUAGUAACGUAGCUAACGCGUGAAGUUGACCGCCUGGGGAGUACGGUCGCAAGAUUAAAGCUCAAAUGAAUUGACGGGGUCAUA
rnacentral:rRNA from 1 species